CGAGUCCUGGAGAUCGUGCCUGGGUCCUGCUAUCCCCCACCCACCCCUCGCCCCAUCCUCUCCUCGGUUGGCAUCUGAAAUUCCUAUCCUGGAAGCUCAAGGAAAGAGGAAGUUACAUUCUAAACGCGAGACAACAAUCAUAAUCUGAGAGAAGCCAUGAAGUCCACAGAAGCAGGCAAAGGUGAACUGGGGCAUGCCCUACAGCAAUUCAAGAGCUAUCACAGGUGAUCUGUAGGAAGAAGAGAAGAUGGGGUUGUGGGGAGGGAGAGAGCAAGAAAGAGAGAAGACAGAAGCACAGUUAAUGUUUCCAUAAAACUAUCCCCCAAAAA